CGCACAAGAAUAAGCAUUUUUUGAAAGGGUUAAUGUAAUAAAAUCAAGCCAUUAUGAACAAGGAAACCUAGAAGAGAACUGAUUCGAUGAGCAACACACACGGGAAUUUAUACUUAGUGUCUGAUUCAGUCAACAUGGGAUUCAUCCUUCUGCUAGUUAUUCCACCCACACGAAUCUCUCUCUCUCUCUCUCUCUCUCUCUCUCUCUCCUUCAAGGUGACUUUCCCCUCGCACAGGCAGAUCUUUUUUGUUCUUAUGCAAGUCUGGAGAAGAGAGGGGUAAGGACAGGGAGAGAAAGCAAGCCACAGUCAGUGAUAAAAAGAUGAUGACAGAACACAAACAGAAGGCACCCAUACUAAUCAGCAUACUUGAAUUUUCAAAAUAAAAAGAGGGAGCGUGUCAGACAGAAGGAAGGAGGGAGAUGCUGAUUAAACAAUUAAACACGUAAUUUGUAAA